GACAUAAUAUAAGUCUAUGUUACGGCCAUAGAAUGGGUGAUGUGCACCAUAUGUUU
rnacentral:tRNA from 1 species